AUUGAACGCUGGCGGCAGGCCUAACACAUGCAAGUCGAGCGGAUGAAGGGAGCUUGUUCCUGGCUUCAGCGGCGGACGGGUGAGUAAUGCCUAGGAAUCUGCCCGGCAGUGGGGGAUAACGUCCGGAAACGGGCGCUAAUACCGCAUACGUCCUGAGGGUGAAAGUGGGGGAUCUUCGGACCUCACGCUACCAGAUGAGCCUAGGUCGGAUUAGCUAGUUGGUGGGGUAAAGGCCUACCAAGGCGACGUUCCGUAACUGGUCUGAGAGGAUGAUCAGUCACACUGGAACUGAGACACGGUCCAGACUCCUACGGGAGGCAGCAGUGGGGAAUAUUGGACAAUGGGCGAAAGCCUGAUCCAGCCAUGCCGCGUGUGUGAAGAAGGUCUUCGGAUUGUAAAGCACUUUAAGUUGGGAGGAAGGGCAGUAAGUUAAUACCUUGCUGUUUUGACGUUACCAACAGAAUAAGCACCGGCUAACUUCGU
rnacentral:rRNA from 1 species